rnacentral:rRNA from 1 species
GAUGAACGUUGGCGGCGUGCCUAAUACAUGCAAGUCGAACGAAGACUGUAGUAAUACUGUCUUAGUGGCGAACGGGUGAGUAACGCGUGGGUGACCUGCCCCGAAGUGUGGGAUAACAGUCCGAAAGGAUUGCUAAUACUGCAUAAUAUCCAAGAGAUUAGAUGCUUUUGGAUUAAAGGAGUAAUUCGCUUCGGGAGGGGCCCGCGUCCCAUCAGCUAGUUGGUAAGGUAAUGGCUUACCAAGGCGAUGACGGGUAGGGGACCUGAGAGGGUGGCCCCCCAAAUGGAACUGAAACACGGUCCAUACACCUACGGGUGGCAGCAGUAGGGAAUAUUAGUAAUGGGCGAAAGCCUGAACUAGCAACGCCGCGUGUGCGAAGAAGGCCUUCGGGUCGUAAAGCACUUUUUGAGAGGAUGAGGAAGGACGGUACUCUCAGAAUAAGUCUCGGCUAACUACGUG